AAUAAGCCACGGCUAAUUCCGUGCCAGCAGCCGCGGUAAUACGGGAGUGGCAAGCGUUAUCCGGAAUUAUUGGGCGUAAAGCGUCCGCAGGCGGCCCUUCAAGUCUGCUGUUAAAAAGUGGAGCUUAACUCCAUCGUGGCAGUGGAAACUGUUGGGCUAGAGUGUGGUAGGGGCAGAGGGAAUUCCCGGUGUAGCGGUGAAAUGCGUAGAUAUCGGGAAGAACACCAGUGGCGAAGGCGCUCUGCUGGGCCAUAACUGACGCUCAUGGACGAAAGCCAGGGGAGCGAAAGGGAUUAGAUACCCCUGUAGUCCUGGCCGUAAACGAUGAACACUAGGUGUCGGGGGAAUCGACCCCCUCGGUGUCGUAGCCAACGCGUUAAGUGUUCCGCCUGGGGAGUACGCACGCAAGUGUGAAACUCAAAGGAAUUGACGGGGGCCCGCACAAGCGGUGGAGUAUGUGGUUUAAUUCGAUGCAACGCGAAGAACCUUACCAGGGUUUGACAUCCUGCGAAUCUCCUGGAAACGGGAGAGUGCCUUCGGGAACGCAGUGACAGGUGGUGCAUGGCUGUCGUCAGCUCGUGUCGUGAGAUGUUGGGUUAAGUCCCGCAACGAGCGCAACCCACGUCUUUAGUUGCCAGCAUUCAGUUGGGCACUCUAGAGAGACCGCCGGUGAUAAACCGGAGGAAGGUGUGGAUGACGUCAAGUCAUCAUGCCCCUUACAUCCUGGGCUACACACGUACUACAAUGCUACGGACAAAGGGCAGCAAACUCGCGAGAGCUAGCAAAUCCCAUAAACCGUGGCUCAGUUCAGAUCGUAGGCUGCAACUCGCCUACGUGAAGGAGGAAUCGCUAGUAAUCGCAGGUCAGCAUAC
rnacentral:rRNA from 1 species